rnacentral:rRNA from 1 species
UGUCCCCUGGCCUUCGUGCCUCAGUGUCAGGAACUGUCCAGAGACCCGCCUUCGCCACUGGUCUUCCUCACGAUCUCUACGCAUUUCACUGCUACACCGUGAAUUCCAGUCUCCUCUCCAGUCCUCAAGCACGCCAGUAUCAAAUGCAGUUUCGGAGUUAAGCUCCGAAAUUUCACACCUGACUUAGCGCGCCACCUACGCACCCUUUACGCCCAAUG